CCUACGGGAGGCAGCAGUGGGGAAUUUUGGACAAUGGGCGCAAGCCUGAUCCAGCCAUGCCGCGUGUGGGAAGAAGGCCUUCGGGUUGUAAACCACUUUUGUCAGGGAAGAAACGGUUUGAUCUAAUACAUCGGACUAAUGACGGUACCUGAAGAAUAAGCACCGGCUAACUACGUGCCAGCAGCCGCGGUAAUACGUAGGGUGCAAGCGUUAAUCGGAAUUACUGGGCGUAAAGCGUGCGCAGGCGGCUUUGCAAGACAGAUGUGAAAUCCCCGGGCUCAACCUGGGAACUGCAUUUGUGACUGCAUGGCUAGAGUACGGUAGAGGGGGAUGGAAUUCCGCGUGUAGCAGUGAAAUGCGUAGAUAUGCGGAGGAACACCGAUGGCGAAGGCAAUCCCCUGGACCUGUACUGACGCUCAUGCACGAAAGCGUGGGGAGCAAACAGGAUUAGAUACCCUGGUAGUCCACGCCCUAAACGAUGUCAACUGGUUGUUGGACGGCUUGCUGUUCAGUACGAAGCUAACGCGUGAAGUUGACCGCCUGGGGGNGGACGGCGCGAGUAGACGUAGAGAAGUAGAGNGNGAGAGNGCGAGGACGACGACGAGGGAGGAGG
rnacentral:rRNA from 1 species